rnacentral:rRNA from 1 species
AUUGAACGCUGGCGGCAGGCCUAACACAUGCAAGUCGAACGGUAACAGGAAACAGCUUGCUGUUUCGCUGACGAGUGGCGGACGGGUGAGUAAUGUCUGGGAAACUGCCUGAUGGAGGGGGAUAACUACUGGAAACGGUAGCUAAUACCGCAUAACGUCGCAAGACCAAAGAGGGGGACCUUCGGGCCUCUUGCCAUCGGAUGUGCCCAGAUGGGAUUAGCUAGUAGGUGGGGUAACGGCUCACCUAGGCGACGAUCCCUAGCUGGUCUGAGAGGAUGACCCGCCACACGGGAACUGGAACACGGCCCAGCCCCCCACGGGGGGCCGGGGGGGGGAAUUUUGCAAAAUGGGCGCAAGCCUGAUGCAGCCCUGCCGGGUUUAUGAAGAAGGCCUUCGGGUUUUAAAUUACUUUCCGCGGGGAGGAAGGGAGUAAAUUUAAACCCUGUGCUCAUUGCCGUUACCCGCAGAAGAAGCCCCGGCUAACCCCGU